GUAUCCGACUAACUCCACCGUUUCUUUGUUCAUUUCAUCCAUUUAUCAUCUUCUUCGGAAUUCGCCGUCGAAAUUUUCAAUCUUUCAGUCAAAAGAAUCGGUAAACAAAGGUAUUCAUUCAUAAAAUUCAAACAUUUCUUCAGAUACGAAAAACUGUUUUUCAUUUUAAUCUUUCCGAUUACACACAUUGUACGUAGAUGUACACAACACCAUUACUGUACAUCUCUCUCUCUCUCUGACAGAGGAAAAGUUCUGAUCCUCUAUUAUCGGUAUCUAAGUGCCUCGAGAUUCUCCACUCCAUUAAGUUUUAAGAACAUAAAGCAUUGAACAUACAAUUGUGAUGGGUAAUAAGCUGGUAAGGAAGAGACAUAUUGUGGAGGAAAGAUACACAAAGCCACAACAAGGUUUAUACAUGAGCAAAGAUGUCGACAUUAAAAAGCUUAAGAAACUCAUCUUAGAGUCUAAGCUUGCUCCUUGUUAUCUUAGAGUCUAAGUUUGCUUCAUAUUCAACAAGAUGAGAAUUGACCAACUCUCAUGCAAUUUUUUCUUCUUGUUCUUGUGUUUUCUAAUAAACAAUAUAACUACUAACUCCAAUAUAAUUUCAGCGA